GUACACCUUGGUAGAAGCUUGGGUUGUGAGGACAGUGGUGCAUCCAUCUCCAAUGUUAAAUUCACUUGAUAUAGAAUCUCCAGAGACAAUGCCACCACCAUAGGUGAGGGUGUAAAUCCAAACAGCAUCACUUUUGGAAGGACCCACCUUUGUGGGAAUGAUGAAUUUGAGAGGAUACUUAGAGAAGCAUCUUGUCACUGUUGAUUUUCCAUCUACUUUCUCCACUGUUACCUUUCCCGUUUCCAUCUCUCCACCAUCGAGUCUCGAUUGGUGAAAGCUUUUAGAAAGCCGAAUCCUCUCUUCCG
rnacentral:misc_RNA from 1 species